rnacentral:lncRNA from 1 species
GAUCAAGAACCGACCAAUUCCAGACACAGUAGUACGGCAAGGCCCGCCUGAGCUUGUCGUAAUUCACGUUGGUCUUGUUCUUGCGUCGCCCCCACGGCUAGGCCACCUUCCUCUGCAACCACCACCAUCCCAUGAAGUCCAGGAGCUGUGGCCGUUGCCUUGCUCUCAGCUGCAGCAGAAAGUGCCAGAGCGUCACAGGGUGGACUGACAAAGAUUCUCUGCUUGGCCAAACUACAGUCGGGCUCUGGAACCUUCUCCUAGGCCAGCCUGCACUUCCUUGAGGCGCCAGCAGCCAGCGUGCGGAGUUAAGUGCCUGUGCCCUUUGUAUGAAAGUGUCACCGUUGUCCUGGUCUUGAGGGGUGGCUUUCGGGUGUAAACGGCCGGCAGAGGGCUUUUCUGAUUUGUAUGUGAGCUGGGUUCCUGGGAUCCUGAUCUGGGCGCGUCUUUGAGGCUUGCCUCUGAGGUCCGCUGUCCCCGCAUGAGCGGACGGCAGAGCGCGCCUGCCUGGGAGCCCAGGAGGCUGCCGGGCCAGGGACCCCGGGAACCCCGGGAACCCCGGGAACCUCUCAGCAGCAGAACUGCAGUGGCACAAGACGGCCACCAGGGGGUCCCGAGCCGGUCUCUGGGGUCCCUGCUGGGGUUGAGGGGCUGUGGCUGCAGACGCGGACCUGGCAGGGGGACCCGAACCCCAACAGGGCCCUGACCGGCCCCAAGGCUGAGCCUGCCCUGUCCCACCAGCGCCCAGACCCCGAUGUUGGGCCGGGGCCUUCCUUUCCUUGUCCCGACCCUCUGAGGUUCCUCCCCGGGGUGUGAGCUGAUUGUGAGCACACGGAGGCCUUCCUCCUCUCUGGGGCUCUGGAGCCCCUGGGGGCCUGCAGGGCCUGGGCCUGGGCCUGGCUGCUGUCCUCUGUGCUCAGGAGGCUUCUCCCACCCACCCACUUCCGGGCACAGCCCCCAGCCCCACACCCAGCCGCCGGGAGGGCAUCCCCAGGGGAGGACCCUCUGCUCCGGAGCCGCGUCCCUUGUCCUCCAGGGACAGUGGCCGGAGGCUGGUGCCUCAAGCUCGUGCGCCUCAUGCAGCAUCCCGUGGGUCCAUUCGCGACCAUAGUGAAGACCCGCAGGCCCCAGGCCCGAGCCGGCUCCCGGGCAGGCCGCGUUCUGGGGCUUCUGCGGGGACACUGGGCCACGCCAGGAGGAAGGGUCCUGACCAGGGUCAGGGAGCAUCGGAUGCUGCCGGCAGAAGUGGGGGGCGCGGGGCCCCACCGAGGAGCCCAGGCCAGCUUCCCCAUCUGCCCCAGGUGCAGCCCUGCAAGGCCCCCAGGCCACAGCGUCCCCAGGUCACAGCGUCCCCAGGUCACAGCGUCCCCACACCCAGGGAAUGCAGGACUUUGGCAGAGGCUGGGAUCCCAGACCACAGAGCCCCACAAGCUGACGCCUGUUCGCGGAUGCCACAGCCAUCUCCGCGGCAGGCGCUGGGGAGGGGAGGGGAUCACAGUGCUGGACACGGACCGGGCCCCAGCCCUGAGCCCAAGGCAGAGCCGGGAUCCGGCCCCGAGAGCGCCCCUGCC